UUCUAUAAAUGUCCCUAGACUACCCAGCCAUCCAAGGCACCUGAGAGGGGCAAAACGAUCUGAGCCACCCGUUUCACCCUCUACAGUAAAUACUCAGUCCCACUUUUCACAGCAGCCGUCCGAUCGGUGAGUUUUUUCCUCACCUGCUCAUCUUCUCAACGAGUCUAUGACGCGUGGGUUCAGCAAUAUGCGGGGCCCAACGGUCAGAGGCAGCUACGGGUGUUAAUUCGCGUCGCCUUUGAGUCUACAGCGGCUGAACGGUGAAACCCUAGAUCGGGGACACACCCAAUCCACUCCCCCCAAUCCCCGCUCCUCCUCUCCUCCCCAACCCACGUCUCUUCUCCUCCCCAAUCGCCGGCCGACCUCUCUCUCCCGCUGCAGCCACGCGUGAGGCCGGAGAGGCCACUCCCCAGGCGCUGGAGAAGCGUGAGAGGGCACUCUCCCAGCCGCAGAAGGCGUUGGAUUGGAUGGAGGCGAGCGCCGCGCCGCCUCUCCCCUCGUGGAAGGCUAUGCGUGCCGAGAUCGCGCUGGGAGGAUCCGCGGCGGCGGCGACUGGAGGCGCCGGGCGCGGCCGGGGAUAGGCCGGCGCAGGGUGGAUCCGCUCCGGCGACGACCGGAGGCGACGGGCUCGCGCGGGGCGGAUCCACGGCGGUGGCGACUGCAGGCGCGGCUCGUCUACGUCGCGGCCUCAUCCUCUCCUCUUCGGAUGUCGGCGCGGGGAGGCGGCCGUACCGGCGUUCUGGCGAGGAAGGAGCGCUAAGGUGCUCCCCGACCGAGUGAGCUCCCGUAACCAGCAAUGGCUGCCUCCACCGGAUCCCUACCCCCGCUCCGCCGUUCCGCCCCUGAGCGCGACGCCGCGGCUAACCCUAGCCAUGGGGUUCGGCAGGGUCGCCGCCGCAAUUACCGCGCCGCCGCCGCUCAUCCAUGUGCUCACCCCGGUCCUGGCUGUGCCCACACAACCUCCAGUGGGGAACUACCUCCCGAUCGACCAAGUGCGCCCCGAAAUCGCAGAGGCUUACGUCCAGGAAGUGUGGGUCAAGGCGCAGAAAAUGCUUGCCGGCUGCAAGGAAACCUGUGACGAAAACAAGGUUGAUGCUCAAGUUGUGCUUGUUAACGGGAACGAUGUCGCGGAUACCAUUUCCAGUCUUGUUGCUCAGCACCAGAUACAGAUCCUCGUCGUCGGUGCCAGCAGGGGCUUCUUCAGCAGAGCUUGCACGAAAGCGAGGCCACAAAUGCAGUUCUUCUGUAAGACUCAUUGCGAGUGAUGCAAGCACACAUGGAGGCUCCUCUGUGCCUUGCCGUGCUGCGGAGAAGAUAUCCCUGCCCUGGACAAUGGCAUGCUACUUUCUCUGUUUAUGUACUCCACGCGGGAUUAAAGUGCAGAGGAUGAUUUCCCUUGAAUAACAGACGACACGAUGCAGUACUGUGUAGAAAUUAUGCUUAUUGUUGCAGAUAAAUUAUUUCCUAUCCUCUUUGUAGUAAAAAUGAAGCAGAGCAAGGGAAUCAUAAGAGAGGCAAUGGGGAUGGGAAGGUUUGAUGGAUAAUCACCAUUUCUUAACCAUAUUUGGACCUUCCAAGAAAAUUAUGGUAAAGCUUUGAUUUUGGGGGCACAAUGAAUAGGGUUGUUGUGUGAUAUCAGUAAAUUUGUUUCUGUAACAUACUUGUGUGGCGAAGCAUAGGAGUGACAAGCCACGUGGAAGACACGGAGACGUCGAGGAGAUACCCUCCCUGGAGUAACAAGGGAACUCAUAAAUUGGUUGGGCGCCUACCAUCACGUCCGAGUUGAAGAAAGACCUUCAGAUUUUGCAGUUGUACUGUUGCAUCCUCUGGCUCGGAGGAGGUGUUCCGAUGCCCUGUGGCAUACUUCACCGAGAGGGCAAGCCAUCAACAUGAGUUUCAGGAAGAAACGGUGCAAGUGAGCUUUAAUAAUUGCGAGAAGACGGAGCCGGUACGGACGACCACGGUGGUGGGCGACAGUAGGCGUUGAUGAGCUCGUCCCGGAAGAGACCAGUGAGUUGCUGCUUCUAAAGAUAUGGGGAAAAGCAGCAGAUGAGAGCUUUGAGAUACUUGAUAGGUUCUGUUCUUCCUUUACCUGAAUAUACACCGCUCUAUCUAGGAUCUGGAUGGCACACCAGAAAACUAAGUUGUAGAUCAAAUGAGAUUAUCAUAUGAACUUGCUCUAUAUUCCAAGGUGGUGGUGUCUUGAUUUCGCCUUCUCAUGGCCUCUGCCAUUGCGUUGGUAAGUCACUCUGGGAAGCUCUCUCUCUACAUCACAUGCGAUAUUUAGUUUGUCACGAAGCCCACUCCUGCAUUUGUGUUGCACUUCUAAUCAGUAUACCAAACUGCAGUCUUUUGACGUAUUUCUUGCCUCCAUAAUUUAGUGAUGAACUAAUUGCCUUAUGUAUGUUGAUCCCUCCCCUAAGGAACAAAUCUUGCAUGCAGCACCUCUUUGUGUCUACUUGCAAAAUGUAAUUUUUUUCUCUGAGGAAAAUCAGUGUUGAAUGCUUUAAUUUUUCUAGGCUGAUUCAGCAUGAGCAUUCAUGAAGAACUAUUACUUGCCUGAUUGUGUUCUUAACGCUGGAAAAUUAGAGGCCAAAGCAACCAAGAGAUGAUGUACCAUUUCUUGUUCAGAAAAUGUGAGAGAUGCGAGAAAAGAUAGAAAAAGAAUGAGGCACACAUUCUUGUUCCAUUUAACUUGAAUCCGUGUUGUAAUCUGAAUUCAUGAUGUAUACAAAGCUACCUAAAUCGAAAUAGUCAAUUGCAGCCAACAUCCAUGGCAGCCAUAUGCAGCCAUGGUAGAUAAUUCCGCUAAUCCUAGAAAAAAUGUUUAUAUUGAGAAACGAGCAUGGUAGAUAAUUCCGCUAAUCCUAGAAAAAAAUGUUUAUGAGGUUAUACUACUGUUAAUCCAACAUCCAUGGCAGCCAUAUGCAGCCAUGGGAUUAGGUGGCCUACAAGCACCCUCUGUAUUUUUACCUCGACCAUGUCUCUGUUUCGCUGAAAGAGUGUUAAUGUUGUGGCAUCUUGCCAAAGUGUACUAAUUACUCAGUUGAUUUUGUUUUCCUCUUUGUAGGCCGCGCCACAAAAGAUUCGCUUUGAGGCACAAAGUUAUUUGCUAGCUUCGGUUUUAGUCUGUAGUUAUAUGUGCAAACUAAUGAUCAUUCAUAUGAAAUUUGUGUGGCGGGAACAUAUGAGAGGCUGCUGACACAAGGAUCAACUUGGUCCAUAUUUUAUUUAAAUGCAUUUGAUAUACUUGGCAUGCUAAUAACAAAAACUUUUUUCCUGUUGGAUUGAAAGCCCAGUUGGUAAAUAAGCUUCUGAGCAUUUUUUAUUGAUCUUGGUAUUUCUCUACUCUCAUUGGCUUACUGGAACUGAAUUGUGUGGGGGCAUUGUUCAUGCCUUGUGAAGUCUUCAGGUUCAUCAUAAAUCUGCAGGACAACUUCAAUGCUUUUGAUAAGCCAUUAACCUUCUCCUGUAUUUUCCACACUACGUAGUAAUCCAUGUCUUGGGAAAAUAUUUCAGGUGUUGCUUGAGGUAAGUAGAAUUUUUCUACUAAAGAAUUAUGGUAUCCUAUAUAGUAGGUAAACUUAUGGUAACUUUAGUAUGAUGGUUACAAUACUGGCUUGCUUUUGCCUUUGCGCUGGGGCGCUGCAUUCUAUUUUUGUGAAACAAUUACCAGAAGAAGAUUUAUCCCUAUAAAAUAAAGUAUGUUAUUACGAUGGGUUCUGUGACUAUUUGAGUUAGUUUUACAUUGAAAGUUAUUUACCUUGGUGCAAAAUUUCGCAGCUGAUUUUUUUAUUCGAUGAGAAGUGACCAGUAGCAGAGGGACAUUUCUAAUGCCCGCUGCCAUUUGAUGAAACACAGCUAUAAAAUCUCUUUUCGCUAUUCCAAAGUUCAUCUUCAGGUACAUUAGAACUGCCUCAAUGGUGCUAAUAUCUGUUUAGUGGAAGUCUGUAGCAUUUUAUUUUGUUGACAUCCACUCAGAUAAGCAUACAUAAUCUAUUCAAAAGGAUACUGCUAUGUCCUAUGCAAUGGCCUAUUAUUUAGUGACCUGAAAAUUUUCAUGUUGCACAAGUGAAGUUAAAUGGAGGGGUAUGCUUAAGUAAAUAUUUUCAUCAGAGUUUACGUUGGUUUGUUUGUACCUAAGAUUUCGUGAAGUUGAGCAUGAAUGUGGCUGUAUUUGAGGCCUUGAAGGCCAUCGGGAUGUAGAUGCAGGAUAUUACAACAUCCUGGACAAAUCUCUCUUUGGGUAACAGUUCGUUGCAGCGUAUGAAGUGUACACGCAGAUAUCGCUGCAGGUCAACAAUAAGGAAGCGAAGGGUGGAUGAGGGACAGGGAGAACGGAGACUGUUGCGACUCUGAGGAGAGGAUGUCGACGCUGUGAUGCGGCAGGCGAGGAUACCGCACGUGUUCUACAAGACGCUCAUUUUCUUCCAUGCCCUCGACACGGGUGCAUGAUUCCUCUUCCGGUGGCGACGCGGCCAAUAGCGACGGCCUUGACUUCCGCCUUCGUGGCUUCUUCACUACCACUUGCGCCAGCCAGGGUGGCCGUCGUUUAUGAGGAAGGCUGAUUGACAAGGGUGAGGUGGCGCGGCGGAGGUUCCUUGAAAGACGGUGAUGAUCCAGAGCAUCUAUCGGAGCUAUUUUUGCCUGUUAUUUUUUGUCACUUGGAAGUGAACAGAUAUGUCUGUUUAGUCUUGUUGUAGCAGUAUAAUUCUCUGAGUUUCUAUUGGGAAAAUUCAAAUGACUUCGAAAAUUAACAGAUAAUAUUUGUUUCAUUCAUUGCAGUAAGCAUAAUUUGAUAUUUAAGUGAUAGUGCUUAUGAAAUUGUAGAAUUAUCAGACUAUCUCGGAAGUGUCAGAAUCAUACUUAAUUAUCUAUGAACAUAAUAUAUCCUAUGUGACCAUAGUAAUACGUGCCCCUUUGUUUAAAAGCACUUGACCUGGUUGUUUGCCAUUACAUUUGCUUUGAGAAGUUCUUCAAUCUAUGUUACUGCAAUACACACUAAAUAAUCUGAAGGCAUCGCUCUUUUCUUCUGCCAUAUUUUUCGAUGGCUUGUGAAACAAAGAUCUAUUUUCACACAUUGUCACUAUGUCUGUAAGCCAGACAAUCAAAAUUACCAUUGAGAAAUGUCGACAGAUAUAACCUCGACAUAAAAAAAUAUCUUAGUUUAAAGGUAUAUUUUAAACUAUUUCGACAAAAGUUAUAUGUUUCAGCCAACAAGAAGUAUGUUGAGUUAUAUGGUUCAGCCAACAAAUGAUAUAUGGAUUGACUGAGUGUGUUGAUCGAGUCCACCUCUGUUGGACUCCUGCUUUUUUGAGUUACCUUUUGUUCAUUGUUGUUACCAAGUAGAAAUAUUCCAGCCUUUGAGCACUAAAGUGCAUCCUUCAUAUUUUCUCUGAGGUUCGUUUUCUUGGAUAACCAUGUGUAUGUUCUUGGUUAACCAUGGAUCAUAUUUUUUCAUAGUUGGUUCCUCUGUUUACUCAUAAUAGUGUAGCCUUCUAGAUUAUGUACGAGUUCUGUAUAGAGUUACUAAUGUAGUUCUUGUAUACGACUCUGAUGCAGCCAAAAGAGUCCAGUGAGGAAUGGACUAUUUUUGCUAUUAUAUAUUUGCCUUGUGGUGUGAAUGAGGAAAUGGAGUUAUUAGUCCAAGUAUCAUUUUUCAUCAGGUGUUCAUGGACAAUUGUUCACGCUCUUCUCAGAUUAUGGUCGUAUGAGCUCACACGGUUUCAGUUAUAGUGUCAUCAGACCGUGGCAGUAGGUAGUGUCAUGUUAAUGUGAGACUUUGAGAUAGAUCUAGGGAACUAAAUAAAUGUAGACUUUCACAGGAGAUGAAUAAAUUGUGGUUAGUGUAUAAGUGACACAAUUUCGGCUAGAGAAAAAAGGGAACCUUCUUAUAUAUAUAAUACGCGUAACGAAUUAUUUUCCCCGCGAUGAUUCAAAAUUGAGCUAUGCAUCUUUCCAGUCCUUCUCACUGUUAUUCAGUGCAUUCUAGAUGUAUUACUUCAGUAUUCAGGGUGAGGUUACUACUAACUAACCAAAGAAAGAGAGAUGGUUCUGUUCUAUUCAAGUUUUUUCUGCAUUCUAUUUUUGUGAAACAAUUACCGGAAGAAGAUUUAUCCCUAUAAAAUAAAGUAUGUUAUUACGACAGGUUUUGUGACUAUUUGAGUUAGUUUUACAUUGAAAGUUAUUUACCUUGGUGCAAAAUUUCGCAGCGGAUUUUUUUAUUCGAUGAAAAGUGACCAGUAGCAGAGGGACAUUUCUAAUGCCCACUGCCAUUUGAUGAAACACAGAUGGUUACCAUCCAGGAUCGUCGGCAGACGUCGAGUAUAGAAGUGUUAUUUGGACUCACCAAAAAAGAUCUAUUCCUUCAACUAUUAUUGUAUGUAGCUCCAGCCUUUUGUUAACCGGUGAUGGAUCCAGAGGCAGAAGAGUUUGGGCCAUUCACAGUGAUGGAACGCUACAACACAGGUGUUAAUCUGGAAGUGGAUGAUUAGCGAAUUCCUGCAGAAUCGUUCCAGAAGGGUUUCAAUGUUUCAUUAUAAAUUUGAGAACAUUUUUAGAGAAUGCACACAUAAGUACCAUCAUUUGAGUUCUAUAAUGUACCUAUGGUAGUAGUAUCCUUAAGUAAUGUUUUGUACCCAUGAUAUUGCUGGUCUACUUUAUUUAUGUAUAAAUUAGUUCGUACUUGCUGCCACGACUAUUCACUGAGUAAGAAAAAUGGUUGAAUGUAUAUGUAUAAAAUCGACAUCUGUUUUGUUA